CAAGGAGAAUGAGUUCAGAGAAGCUGGUAGCGUGGCUGAGGGACAGGCUUUUCUGCCAAAGGACCCUGCAGUAAGAAAGGGUCUGGACAUCAGCAAGAACGUAUCGGGUGAGAGCCAUGCUUGGGGGAGAAUGAGAGAUCUUAUGAGGAAGACACGGCUGAGAAACCAGAACAAACUGGGACUGUCCUCCGCUGCUCUGAAGAGGUCCUGCCCACAGUUGUACAGGCCAGAUAUUAUGUCUUCAGAACUGAGGAAAACUGAGAGGAACUCCAUGAUCGUUCUGGGGCAAAAUACAAAGAAUGAAAACAUAUGGCCUUUCUGAUAACCCAAGUCAAAUGGAACAAGAAAGGCAAAGCGGGAACAAAUGGACACAAACCCAAGAACCCCGGGGUUACUUUGCACAACCUGCAUCCUACAGUUGUCAACAGAGCAGCUCCAAUUUGA